ACGGACGUGCCUCUCGCUGGCUGGCGGGAAUUCCAAGAACUGUAGUUCCCUGGCUUCCAGCCCCUACUGGGCAGAGGGAAGCAUAGAGCAGGGGAAGGAAAUAAAACUGAGUUGCCAGCAAAUGAAACUGCACACUUUUAUAAAUAUUUCUUUACAAAGAUAACGUGCCUGGAGCAUAAACAUGGUGGUAGGCCAAAUAUCACCUCCCCAAAGAUGGCUACGCCCUAAUGCCUGGAACUUGGGUAUAUAUUAUGUUACCUGGCAAAAGGGACUUUGCCGAUGUGGUUCAGGUUACAGACCUGAAAACAGGCAGAUUUUCCUGGAUUAUCCAGGUGGACCCAAUUUAAUUGCAUGAGCCGUUAAAAGCGGAGAACAUUCACUGCCUGGAAGUAGAAGAAAGACGUGGCAAAAGAAGACUAGAGGGCUGACAGAAGGAAGUCCAAGAAAGUCCAAGUGUGAAAACGAUCCUUUGCUGGUUCUGAGAUGUUCGGCGGCCAUGUGCAAUAACCAGGAAGAGGCCUCUAGGAGCUAGGGCCUCCAGGUGACAGCCAGCAAGGAAACAGUCCUACACCUGUGACAAACUGGAUUCUGCCAGCAACCUGAAUGAGCCUGGAAGUGGAUCCAUCCCCAGAGGCCCCAGGAAGGGAAGCAGCUUUGCUGACACCCUAAUUUCAGUCUUGUGGGACCCUAAGCUGAGAGCCCAGUCAAGCUCACCUGAAGCUCUGACCUUUGGAAACUGUGAGAUAAUAACCGGGAGUUGUUUUAAGCUCCUAAGUCUGUGGUCAUUUGUUAUGGCUGCGUAGAAAACCAAUACAAGGAUCAAGGUGCCGCAUGUGGUUUUCUCUGAGUAAUUGGACAGUGGAAGCUGCAUCAGUCAAGAAUCCAUCAUGAUUUUGCAAGAGGAUUCUAGGGAAAGCCCUCUUGCCUUGUGACUGGUAGAGGCCAACUCAAAUGCCCUAAGGGUUCUUCAUUCUGCCGUGCACCCCUCCUUGUUCUGGAAGUCCAGGUCCAAACUCCAGGGCCCAUCUCGCCUCUUUCUAUCCAAGCCUCUGCCUCGUGUGCCCACCCAGGGUCCUGACUCCCCAAAGCUGGGGUAUGCCUUGCUCUUGCCAUCUUGCCAGAAGCUCAAUUUCUUCCCUGAGCCCCAGUCUGAUGGCAGGAGCCUCUUUGUGCUGACCAACCUCCCCACUCUAGUCCCAGCCUCCCAUGGCUGGGAAAUGCGGUUAGCUCCAUCCCAACGGGGUUGCCCCUACUGGGAUGAGCCAAAAGUAGCAGGAAAAGACUCAGGAAUCCUUUAAUCCUCAGAGUAUUAUCAGCAUCCAGAGAUCAUCGCAUUCAACCCCUGCCUCCGUGCAGGAUGCCCGCCAUUCACUCUUGCUGGCCUCCUGUCAAUGGCUGACCAUGCUCAUCCUCACUGCCUGAAACUCAGUUUACCCCCACACUUGUCUGUUUGCUCCUGAUCUUGUCUCAUGAGAAAGAAUGGAAAUGUGUCUAUACCCACUCGGGUCAUAUGAACACAGCCACAGUCACCUCCCUUCCUCUUAAAUGACUGGGUUACUUAAGGGCCAGAGGGGGUUCAUGGGCCUGGAAGAUGUGGAGAUUGUGUGUCAAGGCCUUAUUCCUUCUGUGCUCCUGGAGCUGACAGUCAUGGUAAGGAGAGAGGCCAGCCUAGAGAAGACAUCUG
rnacentral:lncRNA from 1 species